AUUUUUAUUUUUAUUUCAACGGAUGAUGCACUCAAAAUAUAUUUUGAGUCCAUUAAGAGAAUGAUGGAGCUCAAAGAUUUAUUUUGAGUUUUCAAAUCGAAAAAAAAAAUUAUGUAUUUAUUUAUUUUUACCGAGAAAUUUAGGAAUGAUGAGUUAUAAAAAUUUUCCAUCAAUAUUUUUCUCAAAUUAUUUUCCUAUGAUGUAUUUAUAAAUUGAGAGAGUGCACUAAUGUUAGUGCUAUUUAUUCUAAUUUUGAUCACAAGAGUUUUAUGCUCUAGCAUUUUAUUAAUUGAUGAUUAGUCUUACAUAUAUUUUUUUUCUUACACAUGGGUUAUUACUACACCACAUUUUUAUAUUUACUUAAUGUAACACCCCAUUAUCCUCCACUAAUAUUUUCUUUUCCCUACCACUAAUCUUUUUCCCUACCAUCACUAAUAUUUUCUUUUCCCUACCACUAAUCUUUUUCCCUACCACUACUCCUACCUCUCCACCACACUACUCCUUUUCCCCACCACUACAUUCUUUCUCCCACUCUCACAACUUUUCUCCCACCAUUAUCACACUCCAUAGAAGCCUUUGAAGCCCCAAGAGAAGUAGCAAAGCAAGGGAGAGUGUGGGAAAACUAUAGAGUGAAGGUUGUGCUUCGAGGGACCGAGCGACAGAAAGUGAAGCCGAAGAAGAAACGACUCCACGCCAGCUUUAAGAACAAUUGAGGUUGAGCAGGCGAUGGAAUGGAUCGGUGUUGAGCGGAUUUCCCUUUUGAUGUUUAUGUAAUGAAACCUUGAGUAUGCAUCUCCAUAUGCAUAACUCACACGUUUUUUUUCGCUGCAAACACUCUGACUUAUUUAUCAUUUCUACUUGAACUUAUUACUACUUCAUUUUAAUUAACUUUCAGUUGGGGUCUAGUCGUUAUGGCAGACUCAUUUGUGAAUUACCCAAGUGGUUAUAUAUAUAUACCACUAGUUUGUUAUUAA